GAUCUGGCUCAGGAUGAACGCUAGCUACAGGCUUAACACAUGCAAGUCGAGGGGCAGCAUGUCGGUUGCUUGCAACCGAUGAUGGCGACCGGCGCACGGGUGAGUAACGCGUAUCCAACCUACCCUUGUCCAUCGGAUAACCCGUCGAAAGGCGGCCUAACACGAUAUGCGGUUCUCAGCAGGCAUCUAACGAGAACGAAAUGUGAAGGAGAAGGAUGGGGAUGCGU
rnacentral:rRNA from 1 species